AAAACUUUUCACUGCUCUAAUGCUGGCUGCAGCUGCUCCUUUCCAAACAUGCAGAAAUUGAUGGAACAUAUGAGACGCAUCAUAAACCGAACAUAUUUUUUCUUGUGUGAAAAUUGCCGUACAAAGUUGCGAUCAUACCGCGGCCUCCUGACUCACCUUCACACCUGUUCCAAAGUUCCACGAGGGAAAUCAAAGUCAACAGAACAGAUGCCCUAAAACCAGCUGGUGUGAAAAACCCAAACGCAACUCCUUUGUCUACUAAUCUGAACCUGCCUCAGAUGGAUGUGUUCACCCCACACCUAUUGAUCCCUAAACCAGACAGUUCUUAAGUAUACCUCUUCCCCAUCACGUUUGUUGAUGCAUUAAAGCAAUGUGCAAGUGUAGUAUAAUAAAGAAAAAAAAACA